rnacentral:rRNA from 1 species
CAGGCUUAACACAUGCAAGUCGAGGGGCAGCAUGGUCUUAGCUUGCUAAGGCCGAUGGCGACCGGCGCACGGGUGAGUAACACGUAUCCAACCUGCCGUCUACUCUUGGACAGCCUUCUGAAAGGAAGAUUAAUACAAGAUGGCAUCAUGAGUCCGCAUGUUCACAUGAUUAAAGGUAUUCCGGUAGACGAUGGGGAUGCGUUCCAUUAGAUAGUAGGCGGGGUAACGGCCCACCUAGUCUUCGAUGGAUAGGGGUUCUGAGAGGAAGGUCCCCCACAUUGGAACUGAGACACGGUCCAAACUCCUACGGGAGGCAGCAGUGAGGAAUAUUGGUCAAUGGGCGAGAGCCUGAACCAGCCAAGUAGCGUGAAGGAUGACUGCCCUAUGGGUUGUAAACUUCUUUUAUAAAGGAAUAAAGUCGGGUAUGGAUACCCGUUUGCAUGUACUUUAUGAAUAAGGAUCGGCUAACUCCGUGCCAGCAGCCGCGGUAAUACGGAGGAUCCGAGCGUUAUCCGGAUUUAUUGGGUUUAAAGGGAGCGUAGAUGGAUGUUUAAGUCAGUUGUGAAAGUUUGCGGCUCAACCGUAAAAUUGCAGUUGAUACUGGAUAUCUUGAGUGCAGUUGAGGCAGGCGGAAUUCGUGGUGUAGCGGUGAAAUGCUUAGAUAUCACGAAGAACUCCGAUUGCGAAGGCAGCCUGCUAAGCUGCAACUGACAUUGAGGCUCGAAAGUGUGGGUAUCAAACAGGAUUAGAUACCCUGGUAGUCCACACGGUAAACGAUGAAUACUCGCUGUUUGCGAUAUACAGCAAGCGGCCAAGCGAAAGCGUUAAGUAUUCCACCUGGGGAGUACGCCGGCAACGGUGAAACUCAAAGGAAUUGACGGGGGCCCGCACAAGCGGAGGAACAUGUGGUUUAAUUCGAUGAUACGCGAGGAACCUUACCCGGGCUUAAAUUGCAGAUGAAUUACGGUGAAAGCCGUAAGCCGCAAGGCAUCUGUGAAGGUGCUGCAUGGUUGUCGUCAGCUCGUGCCGUGAGGUGUCGGCUCAAGUGCCAUAACGAGCGCAACCCUUGUCGUCAGUUACUAACAGGUUCCGCUGAGGACUCUGACAAGACUGCCAUCGUAAGAUGUGAGGAAGGUGGGGAUGACGUCAAAUCAGCACGGCCCUUACGUCCGGGGCUACACACGUGUUACAAUGGGGGGUACAGAGGGCCGCUACCACGCGAGUGGAUGCCAAUCCCCAAAACCUCUCUCAGUUCGGACUGGAGUCUGCAACCCGACUCCACGAAGCUGGAUUCGCUAGUAAUCGCGCAUCAGCCACGGCGCGGUGAAUACGUUCCCGGGCCUUGUACACACCGCCCGUCAAGCCAUGGGAGCCGGGGGUACCUGAAGUGCGUAACCGCGAGGAGCGCCCUAGGGUAAAACUGGUGACUGGGGCUAAGU